AGGUGCGAUCAUACCAGCACUAAUGCACCGGAUCCCAUCAGAACUCCGCAGUCAAGCGUGCUUGGGCGAGAGUAGUACUAGGAUGGGUGACCUCCUGGGAAGUCCUCGUGUUGCACUUC
rfam:Phaseolus vulgaris cultivar G19833 chromosome 10, whole genome shotgun sequence.